rnacentral:rRNA from 1 species
GACGAACGCUGGCGGCGUGCUUAACACAUGCAAGUUGAACGGUAAGGCCCUUCGGGGUACACGAGUGGCGAACGGGUGAGUAACACGUUGGUGAUCCGCCCUGCACUUCGGGAUAAGCCUGGGAAACUGGGUCUAAUACCGGAUAGGACCACUGCCUGCAUGGGUGGUGGGGGACAGCUUUUGCGGUGUGGGAUGGGCCCGCGGCCUAUCAGCUUGUGGGUGGGGUGAUGGCCUACCAAGGCGACGACGGGUAGCCGGCCUGAGAGGGUGACCGGCCACACUGGGACUGAGAUACGGCCCAGACUCCUACGGGAGGCAGCAGUGGGGAAUAUUGCACAAUGGGCGCAAGCCUGAUGCAGCGACGCCGCGUGAGGGAUGACGGCCUUCGGGUUGUAAACCUCUUUCAGCACCGACGAAGCGCAAGUGACGGUAGGUGCAGAAGAAGGACCGGCCAACUACGUGCCAGCCGCCGCCGUAA